AUUGAACGCUGGCGGCAUGCCUUACACAUGCAAGUCGAACGGUAACGCGGGGCAACCUGGCGACGAGUGGCGAACGGGUGAGUAAUACAUCGGAACGUGUCCAGUAGUGGGGGAUAGCCC
rnacentral:rRNA from 1 species